rnacentral:rRNA from 1 species
AUGCGACGGGGUUUCGUCCUUUGUAACCAUGACUUGUUGGAAGGUUUAGACCGUAGCAAAGAUUCAAUAAAGCAUCACUCGAGAUAUUUUCUGCUCUUCAAUUGGAUAUAUCGUUGUACCGAUCAAGCUCACCCUUUCAUCCUUGUUUUCUUGCUUUCUUCACCAGGUAUACUGUCUUUUCCAGCAAAGGCAGCUGAGUUGACUGUUUUUUGUGUGCUCUGUUACUGUUGUCAUCAUCUUUACGUUCUUGUCAGGCUUUCCAAUCCAAAAAAGGGAAAAAUGAUCACCAUGUGUGGAAUAUCUUCAUCAAAUCUGUUGUUCCAGAAAAGAAAGAUCCAAGAACCUUUCUGA